CAAAAGUCGUAACAAGGUCUCCGUUGGUGAACCAGCGUAGGGAUCAUUA
rnacentral:rRNA from 1 species